GGAGGCGUUGAUGGCAUCGCUGGGUUCGGUUUGCAGCGGGUGUCCGCUAAGGGAUACGGUGUUCUUCCUGAGUGGGCACGGUUCUCGGUGCCGGGUACUGAGAAAAUAACGUCUCCCUUAGAGUACCGCGGAAAGGUUCUCAGUGCGCUCUCUAUCAAGUGCUAUGAGUCUUGAUAAAUUGGAGAAGAGCCCAAGAGAAAUUUUUCAUCCCUUGAUAUAAAAGGAUUUAUUGGUUCUGGAAGAACAAGAGGGAAGUACAAGCCUAACUACUUCUAGCUCACAGGCCCGUCCAGUGAACCCAGGGACCGGUGAAUUUUAACUUUGGAGUCCCCUAUGCUAAGGAUGCUCAGCUUACAGGUGAUGAAAUGUUCAGUAAUGUAUUUGCUGCAGCUCUGCUUACCCAAGCUUUGGGUUCCUUCUGUCCCACUGGGAGUUGCCCAGUUUGGUUGCAUCUGGUGAAAUUCACCCUGAGACCUUACAGAACUAGCUCCAACUACGUGAGAGCCAUUUGCAGUUCUCUCCAGACACCUGGAGAAUGGGUGACGUUUCUGAGGAUCCGGCGAGCGUGCUUCUAUCAAAACUCAGUCUGUGAAAUUCCUGGGGAAAACCCUUCUGUGUCCUGAAGGGUUCAAACUCUGGUGAGGAUCCAGUUAUCAGGGGCUCACCUGGAUGGUUCCAGCUGCCAAAGGGAAAGACUCUCGUAUCCUUGUCGUCGGGCUCGGUGCUGUCCAAGAAGAUACAGAGACUAAAAAAAUCAUAAGAAGCAAAAUAUGACUGCAGGGAAAAGAAGCUGGAGAGAACAGAAGGUGAUGUUGUUAUCCUUACCCUGUAUUAGAAACAUCCGCUGUGCUUUGAUGCUGGCAGCUGCCAGGGGCUUGUUAGCUCUUUGUAGGCAGGUGUAGGUAUUCACUUGUAGGUUUUUUCUCUGGACAAGGCAAUUCAAACUUUGCUAAGCUUAUAUUUGCAGAUUGCUCUCUAGCACAGUCCAGCAUGACAUUUUUGAAUGUUGUAAAAAUACCAUGUUACUUGGAAAUUGCUAAUGAAGAGAAGCUUUAGGGGAAAAUAAGAUUUCAGGGUUGGAAGAUGUGAGAAGAAUUUUGUGGGGACGUUAGACUGAAGUAAAGCACACUUGAAGCUGGACUGGCACGCUGGCAGGUCCCAUAUUAAACAGUAGUGCUGAGAUUAGCCUGGGGGUUGCCCAUUGUUUCUGUAGAAAUCAAUGUUUCCUGGUCUUGAGAGGGAAGCUGCUUUGAAAAGCUGGAAGGUGCAGCAUGCUGACAAUCCCCGUGCUUUGGAUUAAAAGUAGAUUUCAGAAGGGUCCUAAGCUUUUGUCUUUUCCUUGAAGUUGAUGUAAUCCUAUCGAGGAGUUUUUAGUUCUGUGUUGCCAUGUCAUCCAUCAGAGCCCUGUUGUACUAAUCUUCAUACAAGUACAAAACAAAAAAUCAGACCCUGUCCCAAGCACUUAGAGGCCAGAACACGAUUUCCUCGGGCUGCCAUUUGUGUGCCAUCGGUACUCACCACGAAUUGAGCCCUCUGGCUCUGACAGAGCCCCUGGAUGCUGACGGAAGGGGGCUGGUCACAGACCCUGGAGGUGC